CCUACGGGAGGCAGCAGUGGGGAGUAUUGGACAAUGGGCGAAAGCCUGAUCCAGCCAUGCCGCGUGUGUGAAGAAGGCCUUCGGGUUGUAAAGCACUUUCAGUGGGGAAGAAAGCCUUGGGGCUAAUACCCUCGAGGAAGGACAUCACCCACAGAAGAAGCACCGGCUAACUCCGUGCCAGCAGCCGCGGUAAUACGGAGGGUGCGAGCGUUAAUCGGAAUUACUGGGCGUAAAGCGCGCGUAGGCGGUCUGAUAAGCCGGUUGUGAAAGCCCCGGGCUCAACCUGGGAACGGCAUCCGGAACUGUCAGGCUAGAGUGCAGGAGAGGAAGGUAGAAUUCCCGGUGUAGCGGUGAAAUGCGUAGAGAUCGGGAGGAAUACCAGUGGCGAAGGCGGCCUUCUGGACUGACACUGACGCUGAGGUGCGAAAGCGUGGGUAGCAAACAGGAUUAGAUACCCCGGUAGUC
rnacentral:rRNA from 1 species